rnacentral:rRNA from 1 species
UAAUGCCGUACCACCCUGAAUGCACCUGAGCUCACCUGAUCUUGGAAACUAAGCASGGUUAGGCCUGGUUAGUAACUUGGAUGGGCGACCACCUAGGAUUAGAUUCAAUUUUAUUAU